ACAUUGAACCCAGAGGGAAGGGCCGGGUUUCAGGCUGCUCCCUUGGCCCGGUGGCUGUGCCCACCACUUUCUCUGCCUCUCUUCCCACUCCCUGCCUGUGUUUUCUGAAGGGUGGCUCCACAGCUUGGUGGGGAAAAGCCUUCUGGAAAAUCAUGGACACCAUGCUGUAUUCUUCCUAUGGCAUCCCGUCAGGGCCUGCACCAUCUCAAUUUGUUCCAUGACCGGUGAUGCUAACUCUGAUGGCUUAAGAUGGUGUGUGCCAGUCUUCUCCAAGAUGGCCGGAAGCCAAGCUUAUACAUUCCAGGCAGGGAUUUGGAAGAUUCUUCUCUGUGCAUGACCAGCUGAGAAAGAAACCCCCAAAACAUUGACACUGUGAUUUCUCUAUGUGAACGGUUUAGCAAGUUCGCCAAGGUUGACCUGCCUCAUUCAUGCUUGUGGAGUGACUAACAAGGCUUCAGUGAUACCCCCUGAAACGUGAGUCAUCCAUAAGUCACUCUUCGUCAGAGAAGAGCCUCUCAUGUAAGCUUAGACCACAAACAGCAACAACAAGAACAACCCAAAAAAUAAA